UACGAAGGGUGCAAGCGUUAAUCGGAAUUACUGGGCGUAAAGCGUGCGUAGGUGGUUUGUUAAGUCUGCUGUGAAAGCCCUGGGCUCAACCUGGGAAUGGCGGUGGAUACUGACAAGCUAGAGUGCGGUAGAGGAGGGUGGAAUUCCCGGUGUAGCGGUGAAAUGCGUAGAGAUCGGGAGGAGCAUCAGUGGCGAAGGCGGCCCUCUGGACCAGCACUGACGCUGAGGCACGAAAGCGUGGGGAGCAAACAGG
rnacentral:rRNA from 1 species